UACGGGGGGGGCAAGCGUUGUUCGGAAUUACUGGGCGUAAAGGGCGCGUAGGCGGCCUGCUAAGUCGGACGUGAAAUCCCUCGGCUCAACCGAGGAACUGCGUCCGAUACUGGUGGGCUUGAAUCCGGGAGAGGGAUGUGGAAUUCCAGGUGUAGCGGUGAAAUGCGUAGAUAUCUGGAGGAACAUCAGUGGCGAAAGCGACUUCCUGGACGAAUACUGACGCUCAUGUGCGAAAGCGUGGGGAGCAAACAGG
rnacentral:rRNA from 1 species